GAUGAACGCUGGCGGCGUGCUUAACACAUGCGAGUCGAACGGAAAGGCUCCUGCUUGCAGGGGCACUCGAGUGGCGAACGGGUGAGUAACACGUGGGUGAUCUGCCCUGCACUUCGGGAUAAGCCUGGGAAACUGGGUCUAAUACCGGAUAGGACCAUCGUUUAGUGUCGGUGGUGGAAAGUUUUUUCGGUGUGGGAUGAGCUCGCGGCCUAUCAGCUUGUUGGUGGGGUAAUGGCCUACCAAGGCGUCGACGGGUAGCCGGCCUGAGAGGGUGUACGGCCACAUUGGGACUGAGAUACGGCCCAGACUCCUACGGGAGGCAGCAGUGGGGAAUAUUGCACAAUGGGCGCAAGCCUGAUGCAGCGACGCCGCGUGGGGGAUGACGGCCUUCGGGUUGUAAACUCCUUUCGCCAGGGACGAAGCGAAAGUGACGGUACCUGGAUAAGAAGCACCGGCUAACUACGUG
rnacentral:rRNA from 1 species